rnacentral:rRNA from 1 species
ACAGAGGGUGCGAGCGUUAAUCGGAAUUACUGGGCGUAAAGCGCGCGUAGACGGUUUUGUAAGUCAGAUGUGAAAUCCCUGGGCUCAACCUGGGAACUGCAUUUGAGACUGCAUGGCUAGAGUAUCGAAGAGGGAAGUGGAAUUUCCGGUGUAGCGGUGAAAUGCGUAGAUAUCGGAAGGAACACCAGUGGCGAAAGCGACUUCCUGGUCGAAUACUGACGUUCAUGUGCGAAAGCGUGGGGAGCAAACAGGAUUAGAUACCCUGGUAGUCCACGCCAUAAACGAUGACAACUAGAUGUUGGGAGGGUCUGCCUCUCGGUGUCGCAGCUAACGCGUUAAGUUGUCCGCCUGGGGAGUACGGCCGCAAGGUUG